rnacentral:lncRNA from 1 species
ACCGCUAAUUGGUGAUUGACUGAGUUUAUUACGGUUUCCUUUGAUGGGUGGAAACCUAUUAAGCUCUUGAAUCUCACCGCUAAUUGGUGAUUGACUGAGUUUAUUACUGUUUCCUUUGAUGGGUUGCCCUAAACCCUAAGCCCCCUCACGCCGCCACGGUUCCCCCUCGUCUUUUUUCUAUUUUUUUUAGCUAUUCUAGGUCCUCGUCUCGUCGCUGGCCUCUGAGGACUGAGGCUCUGAGACACAACGGCCGACUACACGACCAGCGACUCGGCCCAGGUGCCCCAACCGGCAACACAACACGGCCCAGUGUCUCUUUUCAGUUUCUAUCUCUAGCCGAUAACUGGUACAAUUUAUCUAAAAAAAAAGAUAAAUGGUACAAUAACUCUCAAAAACAAAUGGUAACCAUAUAAAAAAACAAAUGGUAACAUAAUUUAAAGAUUCAAAUGCUUGUGUAAGAGAUCAAAAUAUGAUGCAGUAACUCCCAAAAACAAAUGGUAAACAUUAAAAAAAAACAAAUACCAAUCCACAAUUCAUAGUGGUGUAGAAGAUUGUCGUUGUUAAUAUUUGUCAAGAUACAUUUCUUGUUUACCGCUUUUUUUUUAUCAAACACAUAUUUUUUGCUGAUAACAACAGGAAGAAUCAAAGCUACCAAGC